AACGAACGCUGGCGGCGCGCCUAAUACAUGCAAGUCGAGCGAGAAGACGUAGCAAUACGUUUGUAAAGCGGCGAACGGGUGAGGAAUACAUGGGUAACCUACCCUCGAGUGGGGAAUAACUAGCCGAAAGGUUAGCUAAUACCGCGUACGCUCCUUGGACUUCGGUUCAGGGAGGAAAGCGAUACCGUGGGUAUCGCGCUCUUGGAUGGGCUCAUGUCCUAUCAGCUUGUUGGUGAGGAACGGCUCACCAAGGCUUCGACGGGUAGCUGGUCUGAGAGGACGAUCAGCCACACUGGCACUGCGACACGGGCCAGACUCCUACGGGAGGCAGCAGUAAGGAAUAUUGCGCAAUGGGCGAAAGCCUGACGCAGCAACGCCGCGUGAGUGAUGAAGGCC
rnacentral:rRNA from 1 species